rnacentral:rRNA from 1 species
GGACGAACGCUGGCGGCGUGCUUAACACAUGCAAGUCGACCGGAAAGGCCCUGCUUUUGUGGGGUGCUCGAGUGGCGACCGGGUGAGUAACACGUGAGUAACCUGCCCUUGACUUUGGGAUAACUUCAGGAAACUGGGGCUAAUACCGGAUAGGAGCUCCUGCUGCAUGGUGGGGGUUGGAAAGUUUCGGCGGUUGGGGAUGGACUCGCGGCUUAUCAGCUUGUUGGUGGGGUAGUGGCUUACCAAGGCUUUGACGGGUAGCCGGCCUGAGAGGGUGACCGGCCACAUUGGGACUGAGAUACGGCCCAGACUCCUACGGGAGGCAGCAGUGGGGAAUAUUGCACAAUGGGCGGAAGCCUGAUGCAGCAACGCCGCGUGCGGGAUGACGGCCUUCGGGUUGUAAACCGCUUUCGCCUGUGACGAAGCGUGAGUGACGGUAAUGGGUAAAGAAGCACCGGCUAACUACGUG